UCGGAUACAAAACCAAGAACCCUUGGCCGCCGCCCCCUAAGUUUUCCCCGUCAAUUUUCAAGCUUGGAAUUGAGAGAUCCAAGGGUGCUCGUGUGUUCCCCAGUCUCCUUUGCCGCCUCGUGACGUCGUGGUUGUAAGAUAUCCAGGAGAGCAUGAACCAGAGGCGAAGGGGCAGGAUUCUUGAGCGGACUGCAUGGAAGCAAGGCACUCGACCCAGUGACUCCUAUGUUUUCCACAUGAUUUUCUUUUGGAGUGUUGAGGGAGGUUAAAAUAAAAAGACAUGUUUUCUUUUACUUCUUUAUGGUUAUCGCAUUAGUUUGAGUUUGACUGGUUCUGCAUUGGGUUCAGAUACCUAUAAACUAACUAAAUAAAUUAUUUUAUAGAUUAUUUUCA